rnacentral:lncRNA from 1 species
GGUAUCCAGGGUUGCUGCCAGGGUGUGCAGGGCCAGGGCCACCUUGGUAUCCAGGAGGCCCGCCUUGGUUACCAGAACCCUGGUACCCAGGAGGUCCGCCUUGGUUACCCUGAUACCCAGGAGGUCCGCCUUGGUUACCCUGAUACCCAGAAGGUCCACCCUGGUAGCCAGGAGCACCGCUUUGCUGAUAGUUUUGUGCACCACCAGGUGCAUAGCCCGGCUGACUUCCCUGUGUGUACCCUGCCUGCGGGUUUGGCAUGUGGGGUGAACCGCCUGGUGUGUAAGCUGCCUGUGGGUUCUGCAUGUGAGAUUGAUAAUGCGGUGGACCCCCAGCCGUAUGCAGUGGAGGCGGUGGUGGAGGCAUGCCUCUGUUCUGGCCCGGUGGUGGUGGAGGGCUGUUGAAGCCCUGGCCAGGUGGUGGUGGAGGGCUGUUGAAGCCCUGGCCAGGUGGUGGUGGAGGGCUGUUGAAGCCCUGGCCAGGAGGUGGUGGAGGGCUGUUGAAGCUCCCAGGAGGUGGGGGGGGGCCUGGGGGACUGUUAAAGCCCCCAGGAG